rnacentral:rRNA from 1 species
AACGCNGGCGGCAGGCUUAACACAUGCAAGUCGAGCGGGNGUAGCAAUACGUCAGCGGCAGACGGGUGAGUAACGCGUGGGAACGUACCUUUUGGUUCGGAACAACACAGGGAAACUUGUGCUAAUACCGGAUAAGCCCUUACGGGGAAAGAUUUAUCGCCGAAAGAUCGGCCCGCGUCUGAUUAGCUAGUUGGUGAGGUAAUGGCUCACCAAGGCGACGAUCAGUAGCUGGUCUGAGAGGAUGAUCAGCCACAUUGGGACUGAGACACGGCCCAAACUCCUACGGGAGGCAGCAGUGGGGAAUAUUGGACAAUGGGCGCAAGCCUGAUCCAGCCAUGCCGCGUGAGUGAUGAAGGCCCUAGGGUUGUAAAGCUCUUUUGUGCGGGAAGAUAAUGACGGUACCGCAAGAAUAANCCNCGGNUAACUUCNNGCC